AGUGAACGCUGGCGGUAGGCCUAACACAUGCAAGUCGAACGGCAGCACAGUAAGAGCUUGCUCUUACGGGUGGCGAGUGGCGGACGGGUGAGGAAUACAUCGGAAUCUACUUUUUCGUGGGGGAUAACGUAGGGAAACUUACGCUAAUACCGCAUACGACCUACGGGUGAAAGCAGGGGUUCUUCGGACCUUGCGCGAUUGAAUGAGCCGAUGUCGGAUUAGCUAGUUGGCGGGGUAAAGGCCCACCAAGGCGACGUUCCGUAGCUGGUCUGAGAGGAUGAUCAGCCACACUGGAACUGAGACACGGUCCAGACUCCUACGGGAGGCAGCAGUGGGGAAUAUUGGACAAUGGGCGCAAGCCUGAUCCAGCCAUACCGCGUGGGUGAAGAAGGCCUUCGGGUUGUAAAGCCCUUUUGUUGGGAAAGAAAAGCAGCAGGUUAAUACCCCGCUGUUCUGACGGUACCCAAAGAAUAAGCACCGGCUAACUUCGUG
rnacentral:rRNA from 1 species